UUUUUCUCAGUCUGAAUUGUAACGGAGCUACUAGUCAAGUAAAACUCAAGCGUUUAUCUGCGCGAGCUUCAUGGUAUCUGCAGAAAUAACUGUUUAUUUAUAAAAAGUUAUAUUGAUCACGCUUAGUAAUAAUUUCAUCAUUGUAAAAGUAACAAGUCUCACCAAUACAAGUAUCUAGCAUUAAAUAAUUGAAUUAAGCAAUAUAUUAUUAUCAAUAUGAAUGAGGCAGCUGCAUCAAAUUUCAUCAAUUCCCUGGUGAGAAAUCUACAAGUUCUCUGCCAUAGUAAUGUUGAAUUCAGAAAUGAUAUUGAAGUGGUUGGACAUCUCUAUCUAAAAGUUGACAAGGCAAAAAAAUUCAAUUAUAUUGUUGAUGAGAAAGUGUGUAAAAAUGAUGCCUCUUCAACAAUGUUUGUUAGUAACAGUUAUCAUUCAGUGAACACUGCUCAAAAAAAGAAAGAUGAACAACAGGGUGAAAACACAAGUAAAAGCACAUCAGAAACCGGUGAAAAUACAAAUAAUGAACAAGCAAGAUUAAAUCCCCCAAAACCCGAUAGUCAACCAGGCAUGUCUCCGAUGAGUACUGGUACCCCCGAUAUUUACAAAACACCAACAAAAAGAGGGUUAAGAUCUCCCGAUGGCGGACACGGGCGAAAGCAUCCUAGACUGUCAAGUGAUGGAACAUCUCAUCAAAGUUUCAGCUUUUCAUUACAAAGAGAUCGGGAGUCUCCUCUUAAAAAAGACCGAUCUGGUUCAUUUUCAGCGUCUCAAGAUAGUUCUAGUUCUCAUUCAUUUAAAGAUAAUUUUAAAAAUGACUCUGUUGAGAUUGACUUAACAAACAUUAAGGAGGAGGUGGACGAUAAAAGUGCUAUACAAGCUAGUUGUUUUUUUAGUCAAGAACAGCAGCAUCAAAUGUUAGAACAAAGCAGUGUACAUUCUUUUUCAAAUCAGUCAAAAGAUUCUUCUACGGGGGAAGAAACUUUAGGGUUAUAUCCUAUAGCAUUACAUCAAAAUGAAAAUCAAAAUUUAGAUAGUCUUGCACAUUUAUCCAGCAGCGUAGCCGGUGGCUCACAAGGAGCUUCAUUUGGUCAAUCACCUCAACAAAUGCCCCAGUUUUUAUCAGACUUGUUGACCACACAGAAGUAUAAACAAUUAACAUUAAAGGAAAAAGUACAAUUCAUCACAGAUAGAGAAGAGAACCCAUCCACACCAGUUUCUGAGUGGUGUAGAAAAUAUGAAAUAUCAGAAAGCACAGUUUUUCGAAUUUGGAAAAAGAAAGAUGAAAUUAAAGCACUGUUUAAAUCAAAAGAAGUUAAAAAGUGAUAUUAAAAUUAACAUUUAAGUCAACAUAAUCUUUUGUUUAGUAACCUUAAUAAGAAAAGUAAUUAACUAGUUCUUGAAUGUUAUUAUAUAAGAUCAUCUGGCUGGGGUGGGAAACCUAUUAUAUUGCAAUUUUCCAUGUUAAACAAAACCUGUCAUUUCUAAUUACAAAUUUCCACACAAUAUAGGGACUAAAUAAUAUCCAAAGAUUUUGAAUAAAUGUUUACUGGUACAAAUGUAUAUCAUAUACAGGCCUCGAAAUGUUUAAAAACCGCGACAGGUAGCUUUUUCUUCAUACCUGUCACUUCAGUAACUAACCUGUCACUCUCAGUUAUCAAAGACCAAUCACAUGACACGUAUCCAUACAUGUAGGUACACAAACACUCUUAAAUUGUUUAGGUUUUUACCUACAUUGCUCCAUAUAAAUAUCGUAAUAUGAAACGUUUUUAUUUCUUUGACAUCGGAAUGCCUAAAAAUUCUUGAAAGUCUGCAAAACUGCUUUGACUCAACGACUCAAAGAUUUGUGCAAUUCUAUUAUCUGUAUCCACGUGAAUUCUGCCAAGUAUCGCCAUUGAGGUGUAGAAUUCAGAUUCUUAAACAUCCGUAAUAAAUUGAAUAUCAAAACACAAAUCACACCUGUGCAUGGCACCGUAUUUACAUGUACCGCGUGCGGAGGACAGGUAACACGCCCUGAAAUUCCUUUCUCACAUAUCCUGUUUAUAUUUACGCUACAAAUUCUAGUUAUACAUGGAAUAUUUUCCCGACCUAAUUAUUUGAUUUUGUCCAAUUUUAUACCGUAAUUGCUAUAAAUUAUUCAUAGCCUCUAUGGAAAUUGUUUUAAAUGAUUAAAUACACCAGUCAAUGAGCCAUGUGCAUUUCCAUUCAAGCCACCACUGUAUUUACUGUGGUGUCAUUCCGGUAGAAUUAUUUGAGAUGACUUAAGGGUGCGUUUUAAUUUAUUUAGGUAUAAUACUCUAUAAUGCUAUAGUGUCAAGCAGAUGAAAACCAGCGUAGAUGGUGUGAAUUUCAUUGUUAAUCAUUAUAAAUUUGGCUACUUCCAAACUGUAUUUGUAUCUUAACCAGAAGAAGGAAGUAUCACUAGAGGAUAAGAUAAGAAUAAUAGAAGAACGGGAACAAAAUCCAUCUUCUACUGUGGUCUCUAUUGCACAAAAAUAUGACAUAAAUAGAAGAACUGUUCACAGAAUAAUGAAGAGAAAACAGGAAUAUAAGGAUUUAUAUGAGGAAAAAUUAAAAUUUGAUCUGGCUAAUAAUUCAUAUACUCAUAGUUCAAUUAUUUAGUUUAAUCAACUACACACAAAACCAUAACUAUUUUAUUGUUACCGAUGCAUUACCUGCCAUAUGUAAUAACUAUUGUCAUAAAUCGGUUGUGUAGAACAUGGAUUAAAUUAGGCACUCUGCUGCGAUAUCGGAAAUAUGUUUUUGAAGGUAAUAGGGCAAGAGAAAUAUUUGAAUUUAACAGGUUAUGUUUGAGUCAUAUUUACAUGUUAAAAUGUUGAGACCUCUUUAUUCGACAAUUCUGAAGGGGCUUAGCUCUUUAAAUUUGUAAUAAUAUCAUGAAUUUAUACAAUAAUAUAGUAAUCUUGCAGCAUAUUGCUUUAGUACAAAUUGUGUAGAUUGAACAAUAUAAUAUUAAUAAUUUGUAUCAUAUAUCCUGUAUAUUGGCUUACUGUUUGCAUUGCUUCAGUUUUCUGUGAAAUUAUAAUAUAUGUGUCUGUAUGAUUUUAUUAUGAAACUUAUGUGAUUAUUCAUAAUAGUAUGUUACAAUAAUUGCUUGCAUACAGUUAUAGAAAUAAAGUAUCAUUAUUUUUCUAGAUAUUAUUUUUAAAAAGUUACUGAUUAAAAUAAUAGUAUAUAUUAGGCAAAGAACCAGGUCAGAUGGUUUAUCCAGGCAGAGGAUUACAUUAGCACAUGUUACAAAACAUUAACAUUGAUAAUAACAGCACUUACUAAGACAUGUUCUCAGCCCAGAAAUACAAUGAGUUGUCACUGGAAGAGAAAGUGCAACUAAUCAAGGACAGAGAGACUAUGCCUCCACCUAAAAUAGAUGAACUAGCUAUCAAAUAUAAUGUUUCUUCUAGAACUGUUUCAAGAAUAUUAAAGAGAAAAGAUGAAUACCAGAACAUGUUUCUUCAGAAAAAAUGAAAUUUAGUAGUUAUGAUAGAUUUGGCUUGAAAUUCCGAUUUGGCUGAAUUAGAACUCACAUGUGCCAUACAUACCAUGAUUAUAUAAUUAAAAAAACAAAGGAUGAAUGGUUGGACAAAAGAAAAUAUUACCUACACAGGCUGGCAUUCAGCCACACUCACUCAAGGGCCACCUCCACAUUGUCCAUCACUAUACAUCUGUACAAUUCUGCCACCCAUAUGAAUUUCACCAAAUAGAGUAAAAGUGUUAACUAAGGCGUUGCAUAUUCAACAUUUGGAAAAAAAAAGAAGUUUGUUUUUGUUAAAUAAAAUGUGAAAUUAGAUUCCCUUGAAAUUGUUUCUUCCAUUAUUUAGUGUCAUUGAGUCAUUGUCCACUGUAUUAUAUCUUCAUUCAAAAUGCUGAAUUGAGUAUUAUUGGGUUUUACUGACUAGAGUAGAAGUAGAAAAUCUUGAUUCAUUACCUGCUGAUGACUAUGGUUUUAUCAUGAAGUUACAUAUAUUCACUUGUGUUUCUGGUGAUCUAUGUGAGAAGCUUUCCAUUAUAGUGAUCAUAAUGUGUGUAAAAUAAAGUAGUGCUCUUGGAAAAACUUAAUUGUUGUAGAAAUUAUGAUAUAUAGGCUAAUUGGCAAUAUUGAUGUAGAGAGAAAUUUUGUCAUAAAAACUAUCCAAAAUAAUAUUUUGACACCAAAAGAAAUGAUUUGCUGGUUUAUGGAAAAACUGGUUCAUGUUCAGAUUUUAUAAACAUACAAAAACAUUUCUGUCUUGAGGAUGUUUGCUGUUAACUAGUUGAAUCCCGGUCAUAUUAGUAGAGAAGACUUCAGUAUGAAUAGCCGGUCAUAUAAGGAAUUGUCUCUUGAGCAAAAGGUCAGCUUAAUACUUGAAUAUGAGAAGAUUCCUAAACCAUCAACCUUAACCUUGGCUAAACAAUAUGGUAUAGGUCGUAAAACAGUCUACAAUAUCAUACAUAGAAGAAGUUAUUAUUUAUCCUUAUAUUCUAAAGAAAACACAAAUUGAAGAGUGAUCUAUAGUGUAACUAUCUCAAUCUGCUUACACGACCCUACCAAUUCAAUUCCAUAUCACUCACUGAGAAAAUCAAACUGAUUGAAAUGUUUGAACAAGUCCCUAAACCUUCAAUAAAAGCUAUCACAAGUAAAUUUGGAGUUACAAGGCAAACAGUUUAUAAUAUCAUCAAGAGGAAAGACAAAUAUAUGGAAGAAUAUGAGAAGAGCAGUACUUGAUAAAAUGUGUUUGAAAUCCGGUGGUCAUAUUCUCUUGUUUGGAUAGGAACUCAAUUUAAUUUAGUGCCAAGUGUGUAAGGAAAAUGUUGGUUGUGGAUAUUACUAAGUGUUAAUCAUGGAUGAUGUUUAUAUUUAUAGAUUUGGCUACAUGUACAUUUUGUUAGUGAACAUCUCAAAAACAUGGAUAUUAGUUUUGUUAAACACACGUCAAUAUAAGGAAUUACCAUUGGAGGAAAAAGUAAGGUUGAUAAAGGCAUCAGAAAGGCAGCCUAAACCAUCAGUUCGUCAAUUAUCAGAAGAAUUUGAUGUUCAAACUAAAACAGCUUAUAAUAUCAUUAAGAAAAAGGAAAAAUAUCUGGCUGAAUAUGAAAAAAGGAAGAAAUUAAUGGAAUAAAUCAGACUUGCUUAACUUGGUAUGAUGAAAAUUGUGGAUAGUGAAAAUUUUUGUUUGUGGUGAAUAUUGAAAGUGAAUCUCGAAAGUGUGUGUUGGCUUAACUGACCAUAGGAAUUUCUCUUUCUUAUCUCUACUCCUUGUGGUGUGGUUUAUUAACCUGACAGAAAGCAAGUAUUGUUCACAAUAGUAAAGUGAGCAUGACCCGAAAUUUAUCUCAUGCUGUGCCUACUUUAUAUUUUUCAGACUUGAUUUCAACACGCGAAUAUAAGGAAUUACCGUUAGAAGAUAAAGUCCGACUAAUCAAAGAAUCUGAAUCUGUUCCAAGACCAUCCGCUAAGGAAUUAGCAGUAAAGUAUAAUAGUAAAAUUCACACGGUUUAUAGUAUUCUGCGUAAAAAAGACAAAUAUAUAGCGGAUUAUGAGAAAAAGAAAUGGUAGAAUUAUUAUACUUUAACCCAGAAGAGUAGUUAUUGUGCAGACUACCUAAAGUUAUAGUUUUUCAUGUGUAAAAAGUGUUUUGUUGAUAUUCAUAUAUACACCUACUAUUGUCACAACUACUUCUAGAGACAAAAUUAGUACAUUGCAGCUGGUAGGAUCUUGUUUCUAUUGUAUUUUUUGUGACUAAAAAGUUGGAUUAAACAGAACCUUUAUUUCUAUGUUACAUUACUCAUAAUUAUUUUGAUUCAUGUUAUUCACAAGUCCAACAUCAUUUUAACUUUUACCACUCUAACAUCAAUUUAACCGUCCUGUCAUCUCCUGUCCUGUCUAUCCUAUCCACAUCAAUUUUAUCCUGUACUAGACCAUCCUCUAUCCUACACUAUCCUAUACGCAUCGAUUUAUACUAGACUAGCAUAUCCUCUAUCCUACAGUGUCUUAUUCUAUCCACAUAAAUUUUACCCUGUACUAGCCCAUCCUCUAUCCUACAGUGUCCUAUACUAUCCACAUCAAUUUUCCCCUGUAUUAGCCCAUCCUCUAUCCUACACUAUCCUAUCCACAUCAAUUUUAUCCUGUACUAACCCAUCCUCUAUCCUACACUAUCCUAUAUGCAUCGAUUUAUACUAGACUAGCAUAUCCUCUGUCCUACCAAAUCCUAUUACAUCAAUUUAACCGUCUUGUCAUCCCCAGUCCUGUCGUUUACAGCUUAUAUGUACAUUCGAAUACAUGGAUUGGAAAGAACAAUUACUUCAACAAAGAUUACAGAUCCAUUCUCUUUUUUAAGUUAAUAAUAAUUUACAAUACUAUAUGAAAAUGUUGAUGACGCUCAAUUGAUAUUUUGAUAGGUUCUUAAAAAAAAUUUAUAAAUUAAAUGUAGAAUUUAGUAUGUAAAUAUGUUACUUGUAGUUCUAUACUGUUUUAUGUAAGAAAAUUUUGUGGGGGUGAAAUAUAACUUUUAUCUUGGGUAGGAAAAUCUAAAAUGAAUCAUAGUUUUAAGUAAUAUGCCAUGUGAAGGAUUGAUGAAUCCAUUGCAAACUACAAUAUUGUAAAAGGUUUGUGUCAAAAAGGAAUACAUGUAUAGUAUAUCAGUCCAAAAAGGGUUCAAAUCUGUUCAGUAGAUGUAGAUGAUAUAAACAGGAUAUGGUUUAAAGCCAGCACCUGUAAACUUCACUUAAUUCUUUGGUGGACCACUUUUUUAUCUGAUAUCUGAUUGAAUUCAAACCAGGAAAUGUUAAAUAAUAAUUUUGAUGUUUUAUGCAAAAUGCAAAUGAUGCACACAGACUUUUAAGCAAAAUGUGAAAAAUGCUAUUUAUGUGUUUUUCUUGGGAUCCCAAUUUGUAUCUAAGCAAAAAGUGAGCCAUAAUUUGACAUCUUUGAUUUAUUUUAUUUAAUAUUUUAUUUACCAGAAUCUACAUGUAAUAAUAAUGGUAGUGUUCUGUCAUUUUUGUACAUAGACAUUCUGAUUUCAAAUACAUCUGUUCAUCACUGUAAAGUACAUAAACUUAUUGUACAAAUACAUGUAAACUAAAAAUAUAUAUCUCAAGUUAGUAAUAAAUAUGUCAAAUUUUAA